rnacentral:rRNA from 1 species
AACGGCCAUACAAUGCUGAAUAUACCGGUUCUCGUUAGAUCACCGAAGUCAAGCAUCAUUGGGCGCGGUCAGUACUUGGGUGGGUGACCAUCUGGGGACACCGCGUGCC